rnacentral:rRNA from 1 species
UGCAGAAUCCCGUGAACCAUCGAGUCUUUGAACGCAAGUUGCGCCCUAAGCCUUCUGGCCGAGGGCACGUCUGCCUGGGUGUCACAAAUCGUCGUCCCCCCAUCCUCUCGAGGAUAAUGGACGGAAGCUGGUCUCCCGUGUGUUACNGCACGCGGUUGGCCAAAAUCCGAGCUAAGGACGCAAGGAGCGUCCCGACAUGCGGUGGUGAAUUAAAACCUCGUCAUACCGUCGGCCGCUCCUGUCUUGAUGCUCUCGAUGACCCAAAGUCCUCAACGCGACCCCAGGUCAGGCGGGAUCACCCGCUGAGUUUAAGCAUAUCAAUAAGCGGAGGAAAAGAAACUAACAAGGAUUCCCUUAGUAACGGCGAGCGAACCGGGAAGAGCCCAGCUUGAAAAUCGGACGUCUUCGGCGUUCGA